CAUACCCAUAGGAUGGGGACAACUCCGGAAAACCGGAGGUAAUACCGAAUAAUAUUUCAAGAACGCAUGUUUGAAAAUCAAAGGAGGCCUCUCUAUAGAAGCUUCUGCCCAUGGAUGGAUCCGCGUCUGAUUAGCUAGUUGGUGGGGUAAUGGCCUACCAAGGCGACGAUCAGUAGCCGGCCUGAGAGGGUGAACGGCCACACUGGGACUGAGACACGGCCCAGACUCCUACGGGAGGCAGCAGUGGGGAAUCUUCCGCAAUGGGCGAAAGCCUGACGGAGCAAUGCCGCGUGAAUGAAGAAGGCCUUCGGGUUGUAAAGUUCUGUUGAGAAGGAAGAAAGAUCUAAGAGCUAAUACCUCUUAAGUUUGACGGUACUUUUCGAGGAAGCCCCGGCUAACUACGUGCCAGCAGCCGCGGUAAUACGUAGGGGGCAAGCGUUGUCCGGAAUCACUGGGCGUAAAGCGCAUGUAGGCGGGAUAUUAAGUCAGGUGUGAAAACUACAGGCUCAACCUGUAGAUUGCAUUUGAAACUGGUAUUCUUGAGUAUUGGAGAGGAAAGUGGAAUUCCUAGUGUAGCGGUGAAAUGCGUAGAUAUUAGGAGGAACACCAGUGGCGAAGGCGACUUUCUG
rnacentral:rRNA from 1 species